CCCGGCCCGAGGACAGCGGCCCAGCUCCCAGGCCCGGCUGGGUGUUUCCAGCCUUCCGAGCUGGCGGUCAGGGCUGGGCCUGCAGCUCCCAGCCAGAGGCGAUUCCCGGGGAGACCCGCGGAGGGUCGGCCCGCAGCUGGGGAAGGAGAGGUGGGGAAGGCACCAUGGCGCCCACUGCUGGGCACAUGCAGCCCGAAGAGGGCCGAAAGGUGAAGGAAGGAGACUCGAGGAGGACAGAAGGAACGGCCGGCCGGCGAAGUGCGACCGGGUCGCUGCUCCCAGCAGCCGCUCCUGGGAACUGGUCAGGACUCACGUUCUCAGCCACCCAGACCUGCGAGCCCUCUGCAGACUGCAAGCUGCGUUUGAGAGCCGCGUUCUCAUCAUCCCGGUUGCAGGACUAGUUAAAGACUUGGUUGAGGGGCCCUCAUGACAGCCACAGGUCAGACUGUCCUGGCUCCCUCUUCGCAGCUCUGACCAGAACUCUGGGCCACGUAAGAGAGCACCCGGCACCAACAACACACCGAGCCCACGAUAAUAACCAGAAGGGUCCAGCGUCCUGCUUCCUCUAGAGAAGGGAAUCACAAGCCGAAGAUUCCUCUCGGCCCUGGCUGUUCUCUUCAGUUCUUGCCAGCGAGAUCCUCUCAGGUAGGAAGGAGGUCCAGGGCGGAGGAAAACGCACGGACUGAGGCCUGGGUGAUGUGUGCUCCUCAAAGGCGCCAGCCAGAGGAAUUGUGGAAAACCAGAAAUACGCAUCAGCGUGACAUCCUGCUCUCUACUAGAAAUCAUAACACAUCUUUGUGAGACCGUGUGGGAGGGGCAGGCUUUGCAACUGGAGCGGCUGAAGGCUCACAUGGGAAUGCAGUGGGCUGGAAGCCACAGGUUGGAUGCAGGGGACUUUGGAACAUCGGUUUUCCCUUUGGUAAGAAUGUUAAAACACUGUAAAAGUAAACAUAUAUUAAUGUAUGAAGUAAAACUUUUGCUAAUCUUUAAAAACUUUAAAAAAUUUUAUUAGUGCAUGCUUCCAGUACGUAAUGAUUGCAUUCCUUGUGAGGAGCUGGUAAUGCACAUAGCGGAUCUUAAAUUCUUUUUUCAUCUCCUUUCCCUCUCCUCCCUCCUUCCAUUGCUUGAUUCCCAAAAUAUAAGGAGCAAAAUAAAAGACAUAAUAGGAAAUAGGGAGAUGGAUCUUUUGCAAAAGAAAAUUUUGCUCCUCAUCUUUAAGAUGAAAUGUUUGACUUAGGGGAAAUGCUGAGCCGUGGGGGACCUUAUGGUCAUGGCUCUGGGUCCUGGGAGAGGUUCUGUCCCUUCUCAGGUGUGGACACAGAUGCUUGAGUGGAAAGAGUGAGAAAGCUUGCUCUGGCCAUGGUGGCCCUGGAAGGGAAGGAGAGAGGGAGAGUUAUGGAAGGCUGUAACUGUGCAACGGACUCAGGGAGAGAUGUUGCUAGGCCAAGCCCAUGAAGACACCCUCAGGAGCUUCCAAAUGGGGACAGGACUGUGUACCCAUCCACCCACCCAUCCAGCUGUCACUGGGUAGAGGGGGCAGUUGCCUUGUGUGAGAUGGAAGCCAUACACAAGACUAGCUCUAAAACGGAAGUAAAAUGAAACUUUAUUAUAGGAAAGAAACACGUAGCCAGGCUUGGUGGUGCACGCCAGUAGUCCCAGCAUUCUGGGAGACUGAGGCAGGAGGAUCCCAAGUUCAAACUCAGCCCAGGCAACUUAUCAAUUUAGCAACUUAGCAAUACCCUGUCUCAAGAUAAAAAUAUAAAAAUAGGCCAGGGUUGUAACUCAGUGUGAGGGCUCUGAGUUUAAUCCUCAGUACAUGAAAGAAAGGAAAGAAGGAAGGACAGAAGGAAGGAAAAAAAGUGAGUGGAUGAAUGACCGAGCUGGCUGCUCCACAGACAGAGCAGUCUGAUGGGGUCCGAUCAAUGGCCACACAUCCUGCUUCCUUAUCUCAGGGAGCACAGGGGCUUGCUCCUUGGGUUAACCAUUUGCUUUCUUUCCCCUUUUUAUCUCCAAAAUUUCAGCUGCCCAUUUGUGUUUUACCAGGGUGCUUCGAAGUCCCACUGGUGUCCCGUCUCCCGUCCAUCCAUCCGUCCAUCCAUCUUAUAAAUGCCUCCUAUCAGAAGUAGUAAUAGAUGAAGAUGAUAAUGGUGGAAACACCCUGUUCUCAAGGACUCUCGUGUUUUAGUGUAGGAGUCCCUGAAGUUCUUCCUGCCCCAAAAUAUAUAAAUGAAAAGCGUUUGCUCUGUCUCGGCAGUGCCAGACGCUGUCCCAAGUGUGUGCAUAAAGUGACUCAUUCGAUCCUCAUGGUAGCUCUGUGGAUGCAGACACCACUGUUGUCUGCGCUGCCUGGCUGGGGAGCAGGGGAGCAUCCCCAGCUGAGUCGUCGUCUGGUGAGACGAUGUGUUUAUAAAAACCCUGACACAAGGGCGUGUGGGACACAAGCGCCAUGGGGCUGAUUCUUUCCAAGGAAGUGGAGACCCUGAUUCCAGAUGCAAGACUGACAGGGGAUGGGACCCCAGCGUGGACACUGCUUCCCUUUCCUACUUAUUGUCACAGUCACAGAAUCUGACCAGUUGUGGACAAGUUCGAGAGGAAGCACUGGCACCGUGAGAGGCAGGGAACUUUUAUGUGCCUGAAAUGACCUGAUAAUUUCUGAAAACCAGCCCUGCCUCCGUCUCUCCCACAGUACCCACCCCACCCCAGCUUUAUUGACAUGUAACUGACAGAUAAAAAUGAUGGGGUGGUGGUUGUAAACCAGUGCAACCACUGGUACAGAGCACAGCGUGUGAUUCUGCCUAGCUCUGCUCCUAGGACCUGUGCAGGGGGUGUUACAGGCAUUAUAGGGGGAAGUUACAGGGGAUCCUGGUUCAAUGAGUUUGGUCAAUGAACUUUAACAAAAGGUUCCUUAGAGGGUUUUCUCAGAAUCUUUUUUAUGCUCAUGUGUUUUGUAAAUCUCAGAGGGGAACUGCCUUUCAGUGGUUUCCAAAUUUAUUUACCCACUCCACCCCUCUACCACCACCCCCAUAGCAAUCCUCCUGCCUCAGCCUCCCUAGUGCUGGGAUUACAGGCAUGAGCCGGCCUCCACUAAAGUCUUGCUAGCUGCAUUUUAACCCUCCAAUGGAAACCUCUGGGAAGGGAGGCCCCAGUGUACAGUUAGAAGAGCCCACUCCUCCUGCUGGGGUGUCUUUUCAAAUGCUGUGUCUACCUAGGGAUGGGCGUCCCCACCCAUACUUUCCUGUCUCUUUUCUUCUUCCCACCUUCCUCUCUGGGGCCCUUCCCUGGGCAGCUCCAGGUUCCCCAGGUCCUCCUACCUUGUGGGCUUCAGAACCAAGAACAGCACCUGCCUCUUUUUUAAUUUUGAGACCUGGUCUCGCUAUGUUGCCCAGCCUGGCUUUAAAUUUGCAGCCCUCCUGCCUCAGCUUCCUGAGUAGCUGGAAUUGCAGACACAAACCACCAUGCCUGGGAAUAAGCACACAUUUGAGAGCCUAUUAUGUGCAAGGUGCGGCAGAGGGCAGGAGAGAUGAGCAUUUGGGACUUUCACUCAAAGAGCUGAUCACUGACUGAGGAAGAGCUCACAGGUACAAGGCAGCAUCCAGAUCCCGCGCAGUGCGGUGCAGUGCAGUGCACACUCGGAGGACUGACAGGCUUCAGCAGCUUGGCAAGGAACCAAAGGUUGAUUGCAGGAUGCUUUUCCCAGUGCUGUUUAAUGAACUUAGGGACGUGUUUUCUGGAAGAAGGCAGUGUUUGUUCCAAGUCAGAAGUUGCAGCCUGACCUGGAGCCUCGAUCUGCAAAAGUCAUGUGCUUUGCUGCCAGAAGGGGAGAGAGAAUACCGUGGUACAUGGUAUCACCCAGACUAGGCUAAGAAAUACAAAUGCUUUGUCCUCAAGCAGCACCCACAAUGGAAGUGGGGCAGUGGGGCCGCUGAGGGCACAGUGUGGAGGGACAGCACCUCCUUCCAUCCCUGUCCCCCUUGGUGAACUAGAGCCACUGCUGAGCACUUAACUUCUGCGUGCCUUGGUUUUCUCUCUUUCUAAUGUGGGGAUAUGAAGUAGUGCUUGUGUCAUAGCUUGGCAUGAGUGUUUCGCAUGUGAAACACUUAGAAUAUUUCGAGUUUCUCUUUUGGUUAUUUCUUUUUUUAUUGCUGUGCAACAAAUUACUCCAACAGGGCCUGGGAUUUACCUCAGUGGUUUCGCCACCUGCCUCGAAAGUGCAAGGACCCAAGUUCGAUCCCCGGUACUGAAAAAAAAACCCCGAACAAACAAAAAACCAAAUUACUCCAACACUUAGUGGUCUACAAUGAGAAUUAUUAUUUAUUGCUGGGCAUGGUGGCACACACCUGAAAUUCCAGGCCUUGGAAGGCUGAGGCAGGAGGACCACAGGGAGUGUGAAGCCAGCCUAGGCAACAUAGUCAGUUCAAGGCCAGCUUUGACUGCAAAAUAAGACCCCAUGUCAACAAAAAAUCAUUUAUUAUCUCUGCUUUCAGAGGGUCUGGAAUUUGGAAGCAGCUUAGCUGGGUGACUGGGGCUCAGGAUUUCUCAUGAAGUUGUGGUCAGAUAUGUGCUGGUGUGGAGGCUCCUGAGGUGUCACUGUCCCUUGUUUGUCCCACUCUUUGCGGUGUGGGCGGGGACUCCACCAGGGCACGGUCUGAGGAGGUGGCUCCCUGAGGAGGGGAUCACACAGGGCUGGCUACAUCCAGGCCAGGAAGCGCUAUGCCCUGUUUAUGACCAGUGUGAGGUGAAGGACACUUAGCUAAGAGCAGUGUGAGCGCCUGCAUCCACUCAGACCUCAGCAGGGUUUCCGGAGAGAGUUUGAUGAUGUGAGUCUUUCUCCGAGUCACACACCAGCCCUCGUGGCCUGGGCUUUCCAGAGGAAAGGGCUGAAAGCAGGACGAGGCCCAGGGAAACAGGAGGAAGGAGGGCACGGGAAGCAGGUUGGAGAAGCCAGCAGGAGGGCACGUGGUGCAGGCUGCUGCUCUGGCCUUGUAGGAAGGGACAGAAUGGUCCCAGCUUUGUCUUCCUCCCGAAGGCCGCUCAUCUGCCCACUGGCUGAGGUCCCCUGGGGCUGCCACCCUUGGCUCCCCCUGACUCACACAGCUGGGUGGGGCCAGAGGAGGGCUGGGGGCCUGGGGGACACAGUGGCUUGGCGCCUGGGUUUGUAGGAGCUGGGGCUGCUGGCCGUGGAGUCCCUUCCUGCAGAAGCCAUGCGGG
rnacentral:lncRNA from 1 species